UACGUAGGGUCCGAGCGUUGUCCGGAAUUAUUGGGGCGUAAAAGGGCUCGUAGGCGGCUUUGUUGCGUCGGACCUGGUGAAAAACCCGUGGCUUAACUGCGGGCUUGCAGCCGAUACGGGGCGGGGCUGGAGUUCGGUAGGGGAGAUGGAAUUCCUGGUGUAGCGGUGAAAAUGCGCAGAUAUCAGGAGGAACACCCGGUGGGCGAAGGCGGGUCUCUGGGGCAUUAAACUGACGCUGGAGGAGCGAAAAGCUGGGGAGCGAACAGGA
rnacentral:rRNA from 1 species